CCUGGUGUCAUCGGUGUCCCCGUGUCCUUGUACCCCAACUUUGGUGUCCCCGUUGUCCCCAUGCCUUUGUCCCCAGCACCCUACAGACCUCCGUGCCCCAUCCCCAAUGUCAUUGGUGUCCCCACGUCCCCGCCCCCCAACUUUGGUGUCCCCGUUGUCCCCAUGCCUUUGUCCCCAACACCCUACAGACCUCUGUGCCCCAUCCCUGGUGUCCCCGUGUCCUUGUACCCCAACUUUGGUGUCCCCGUUGUCCCCAUGCCUCUGUCCCCAACACCCUACGGACCUCCGUGCCCCAUCCCUGGUGUCAUCGGUGUCCCCACAUCCCUGUCCCCCAACUUUGGCGUCCCCGUUGUCCCCCUUUCCCCGUCCCCAACACCCUACAGACCUCCGUGCCCCAUCCCCAAUGACAUCGGUGUCCCCAUGUCCUUGUACCCCAACUUUGGUGUCCCCGUUGUCCCCAUGCCUCUGUCCCCAACACCCUACAGACCUCUGUGCCCCAUCCCCAAUGUCAUUGGUGUCCCCAUGUCCCCGCCCCCCAACUUUGGCGUCCCCGUUGUCCCCAUGUCCCCAUCCCCAACACCCUACAGACCUCCGUGCCCCAUCCCUGGUGUCCCCGUGUCCUUGUACCCCAACUUUGGCGUCCCCGUUGUCCCCCUUUCCCCGUCCCCAACACCCUGCAGCCCGCGGCGGCCCCCCCGGGCCGUCCCCGCGGCCCCUCGCCCGCCUCCCCCAGCACCCGCCGCCCCCCGCGCCCCCCCGGUGCCUGGCCAGGGGCCUGCAGAUGGCGCGGUGCCGGUCGUAGGCCAUGGCCACGGCCACGUAGGCCGAGGCGAACAUGGCGACGGCCUGCAGGUACUUGGUGGCCCUGCAGAGCGCGUCGGGGCCCCGGAACCGAUCCGUCAGGUCCCAGAGGAGCUGGGGGAGCACCUGGCCCCCCGCCACCCCCAGGUCGGCGGCGCUCAGGUGCCGCAGGUAGCGCCGCAGGGGGGGGGCCGGCCUGGGGGGGCCCCCCCGGGCCAGGGCCAGCAGCACCAGGACGUUGCCCCCCAAGGCCAAGGCCAGCACGGCCCCCAGCACCCC
rnacentral:lncRNA from 1 species